CCUACGGGUGGCAGCAGUGGGGAAUAUUGCACAAUGGGGGAAACCCUGAUGCAGCGACGCCGCGUGAGUGAAGCAGUAUCUCGGUAUGUAAAGCUCUAUCAGCAGGGAAGAAAAUGACGGUACCUGACUAAGAAGCCCCGGCUAACUACGUGCCAGCAGCCGCGGUAAUACGUAGGGGGCAAGCGUUAUCCGGAUUUACUGGGUGUAAAGGGAGCGUAGACGGUUAAUCAAGUCAGAAGUGAAAACCCCGGGCUCAACCUUGGGACUGCUUUUGAAACUGAGGAGCUGGAGUGCAGGAGAGGUAGGCGGAAUUCCUAGUGUAGCGGUGAAAUGCGUAGAUAUUAGGAGGAACACCAGUGGCGAAGGCGGCUUACUGGACUGUAACUGACGUUGAGGCUCGAAAGCGUGGGGAGCAAACAGGAUUAGAUACCCCAGUAGUC
rnacentral:rRNA from 1 species